CUGGUUUCCCGUUUCACAAGUCCCUGGUCCAAACAGGAAAAGUAAAAAAUGUUAAGUUUGUGUUCAUGAAUAACUGAGCUAAUGACUACAUAUACAAAGUAUGACUCAUCAAAUUAUGGAAUCAUUAAGUAUGUGACACAACAGUUAAUAUUGACAGUUCAGUCCAACUGUUUCAAAAUCUUAACCCUGUUUACUCAAACAAAUUAUUGGGUUUUCUAUUUCUUUUUCUUAUUGGAAGAGGGAGAGGACAUGGGGUUACAAAUAAAUAUUAGCACACAACAGGUAUAUGAUAAAACAUGCCACGAAUGUUAAAUCUACAGAUCAAUGGGCACUAGAACAAUCCAGACACUUUUGUCACAAUUUGAG
rnacentral:misc_RNA from 1 species